rnacentral:rRNA from 1 species
CAUGUCUUUUUGAAAUUUAAUUUAAGGUYUAAUUUGCUCCAUGAUAAUAUUUUAAAUAGCUGCAGUAUUUUGACUGNUACAAAGGUAGCAUAAUCAAUAGUUUUUUAAUUAAAAGCUGGAAUGAAUGAUUUUAUGAAAUAAUUUCUGUCUCAAAUUAAAUAAUUUUAUAAUUUUUUUUUUAGUUAAAAUACUAAAAUAUUUUUAAAAGACGAGAAGACCCUAUAGAAUUUUAUAAUUAAAAAAAAAAUAAAUUAAAUUAAUUUUUUUUAAUUAUUAAAUUGGGGAAAUUAUUAAAUUUAAUAAAUUUUAAAUAUUUUAUACCNAAAAAUUAUUGAUUAUUUGAUUUAUAAAUGUUUAAAUAUAAGAAUAAAUUACCUUAGGGAUAACAGCGUAAUUUUUUUAGAGAGAUCUUAUUAAUAAAAAAGUUUGCGACCUCGAUGUUGAAUUAAAAUAAAAUUUUAAUGAARAAGUUAAAAAUUUUUGGUCUGUUCGACCAUUAAUAUUUUAC